ensembl:lncRNA
GGUCACCAUUUUUUGGAUCUCCCUUGCGAUUAACUGCUCUCGGACUUAUCACCACCUGUCUGCCCUCCUAUCUGCACCGAGAAGUAUUGGCGAGUGGUGCAGGAGAUUUAGGUGGGCAGCAAGACUGUGGUGAGGAGCCACAGCCCCGUCCUCCAGGGCAUGAAGCAGGUAUGGAGGAGAUCCAGGCUCCAGACAUCCAGAGGCUCUCAGAGCACAAGAGACCAAGGAAGACCAACAGAGGGGCAGCCGUGCCACUGUCCCAGAAAGAGCUGAGGAGAGCCCCAGAUGAGGGCUCACUCAGCAGCCGCGGAGCAGAAGCCAGGGGGAGUUGCAGUGACGCGCCCGUGAGCUCCGCCGGCCGCCAGCUGUGCCAGAGUGACCGAGCCCCAGGCCCAGAGGCUGAGGGCACCCCACCCCCCGAAGGGCCCCAAGCGAGCCCCAGGCUCCAGGCCCCGAAAAGCAGCCACCAGGAGUGAGCCGGUGCGUAUCUGGACGCCCACCCCCGGACACCAAGAACCACCAAUGCACCGAUGACCGAUGUCUGAGGGCGUCUGCCACUGGCAGGGGAAGUGGUGGGGGGAGAUAGGCCUCCAUACCUUAGAGGGCCUGAGAUGUCCCCAGAGAGGUGGCGUCUGAUACCCGACGCCAGGGGUGAGGUUGUACACCCUGAUGGUACUUUGGACUCCGUGUAUCGUGCCCACCCCCAAGAUCCUAUAUGUAUGUGUUAUGAGAGUGUGAGUAAUGUGAAUGUCUAAGUUGUGAGAUAAAAUUGAGGCACAGGCAGCCAGAAGGGGACAGGGGGGGAUGCCUCCCCUACACCCUGGUGACACACCUUUACCCCAAGGCCCUGCAUGUGUGGGUGAUUGUGGUGGAGCGGGUAGAGGGAGGCAGCUGGAGAUGGGGAGGGAAGGAAGGGAGGGGCUCUUAACUUUAGCUACGAACCAGAUGUCGUGUAGUUGAUAAGUCGGUGGGAGAGGGCUCUGUGCCGCCUGUCAUCUGGGACAAAGCUACGAAGCUGGUCUGCAUCACUCACGGACCCGAUAAGGUUUUGUUUUUUGUUUUCUGUUUUAUAUCGCUGCCUUGCAGCAAACUAAGGUUUUCUUUCUUUCUUUCUUUCUUUCUUUCUUUCUUUCUUUCUUUCUUUCCCAUUUCAAGUUUAUAAAAAUGUUUUCUCUGUUCAGGGGUUUUGGCUGGUGGCAAUUUCUGGGGUUAGUCAGUUGGGAAGGGAGAAUGAUCACUCCAAAAUGCAGGAGCACUGGUUCCAAAUUACUGCAAAUUUUCUCGCAAAAUGACAGGAAAAUUUAUUAGAAUAAUAACAUGACGUAAAAUAUGGUCUUAUUUAAAAACAACACAAGCGGACGUAGUAUUUCUACAGGAGACACAUUUAAAGCAAGGUGAAGUCAAAAUUAAAAACUGGGUGGGCAGGUCACAUUUUCUACAGCUCCUUCUCAAGUGCAAGUCCUUCUCAAUGGGGUUAUCAUCCUCAUCAGAAGAAAUAUUAACUUUGUACUGGUAAAGGAAUUUAAAGAUGCAGAGGGAAGAAUAAUAUGUGUUCAGGCACGGAUUGAAGGUGUGAUGAUGAUUGUUUGCAAUAUCUAGCAUAUGCUUCUAUAAAGAAGAAAGAAAGUUUCUUGAUGAAAUCAGGGAAAUCACUGGGUAACGAUGGCCUAACAGCUGAGUAUUAAAAAACAUUUAUUGACAUUCUUGCUCUGGUCCUACAAAAAGUGUAUAAAGCUUAUGAAAAUGGGCAGAUCUCAGCUACAUUUAAUUGUUGGAGGUUUCUUUGUUUGUUUUUUGUUGCUUGUUUUUUUGUUUUUCUCCCUCUUAUACAGGUUUAAUUAUAUGUUGCAAAAUCAAUAAAAAGCUUAAAUGUCAAAAAAAGAGAGAAAGAAUAAAGGUGGUCAAACAAAA